UACGGGGGGGGUAAGCGUUGUUCGGAAUUACUGGGCGUAAAGGGCUCGUAGGCGGCCAACUAAGUCGGACGUGAAAUCCCUCAGCUUAACUGGGGAACUGCGUCCGAUACUGGAUGGCUUGGAUUUGGGAGAGGGAUGCGGAAUUCCAGGUGUAGCGGUGAAAUGCGUAGAUAUCUGGAGGAACACCGACGGCGCAGGCAGCGUCCUGCCGCUUGCUGACACUGAGGCACGAAAGCUGGGGGAGCAAACAGG
rnacentral:rRNA from 1 species